UGGGGAAUAUUGCACAAUGGGCGCAAGCCUGAUGCAGCCAUGCCGCGUGUAUGAAGAAGGCCUUCGGGUUGUAAAGUACUUUCAGUCGGGAGGAAGGUGUCAAGGUUAAUAACCUUGGCACUUGACGUUACCGACAGAAGAAGCACCGGCUAAUUCCGUGCCAGCAGCCGCGGUAAUACGGAGGGUGCAAGCGUUAAACGUAAUUACUGGGCGUAAAGCGCACGCAGGCGGUUGAUUGAGUCAGAUGUGAAAUCCCCGGGCUUAACCCGGGAAUUGCAUCUGAUACUGGUCAGCUAGAGUCUUGUAGAGGGGGGUAGAAUUCCAUGUGUGGCGGUGAAAUGCGUAGUGAUGUAGAGGAAUACCGGUGGCGGAAGCGGCCCCCGGGACAAAGAAUGACGCUGAGGAUCGAAAGCGUGGGGAGCAAACAGG
rnacentral:rRNA from 1 species